CAGAGGCAAAUGGGCUGCAGAAAGUAUACUCCCAGGAAACGCAGAGCUCACCCAGCUUCCUUUCCAUCCUGGAAGACAGCACCUGGCUCCAGUGCGCCUUAUUGAGGUGGCGUCUUUGGUGACAAAGGUGACGGCUUUGCCUGGUUAUCGAAGGCAUCCUAUGUGGCAGCUCUGUGGAUUACCUGUUCAAGACUACAAUGGCCAUUCAGACAAGCUCUGACGUCAGACGAGAGGACAACACAGCAAAUGCAUAGCAAGAGCUGAAGGUCAGUGAAGUCAUCCUAAAUGUUGACUAACGCAGCUACUGAUGCAGGGGCUAAGCGAAAGCUCGAUGAGAAGAUUACCUUAAUGGUUUAGCCUU